rnacentral:rRNA from 1 species
UACGAAGGGGGCUAGCGUUGUUCGGAGUUACUGGGCGUAAAGGGCGCGUAGGCGGCGCACCAAGUCAGGCGUGAAAGCCCUGGGCUCAACCCGGGAAUUGCGCUUGAGACUGGUGUGCUUGAGUACGGGAGAGGAUAGUGGAAUUCCCAGUGUAGAGGUGAAAUUCGUAGAUAUUGGGAAGACACCAGUGGCGAAGGCGACUACUGGACAC